UUUCUACUUGUUAUAUGUAUUAGGAAUAUACAUAUUCCUAAAUAUAUAAAUAGAACUUGUCAAGUCUUUGUAUUACUUGUUCUCAGGGAUGCCACAGGAAUGCCUUCUCACUGUGAACUAGUUUUCAUGAUACCGGGAGACAUCAUGCAAGUUUCCAAGGGAAGGAAGCAACCAAUAAGCAUAUCCAGUUUCAAAAUUGCAUCUUAACACCUCAUCAAUGAGAUUGCAGCCAUUUUAAGAAGAGAAACAGGAAGAUCUUUCUCCCUCCACCAGAUGAGAACACAGACCAACAAUAUCUCCCAUGAAAGCCUUAACUUCUUGCCACUUUGAUUUAAACAUAACCAUCCAGAACUAUCAGAAAUAAAUG
rnacentral:lncRNA from 1 species